CACAAGCGGUGGAGCAUGUGGUUAAUUCGAAGCAACGCGAAGAACCUUACCUGGCCUUGACAUGCUGAGAACUUUCCAGAGAUGGAUUGGUGCCUUCGGGAACUCAGACACAGGUGCUGCAUGGCUGUCGUCAGCUCGUGUCGUGAGAUGUUGGGUUAAGUCCCGUAACGAGCGCAACCCUUGUCCUUAGUUACCAGCACGUAAUGGUGGGCACUCUAAGGAGACUGCCGGUGACAAACCGGAGGAGGGUGGGGAUGACGUCAAGUCCUCAUGGCCCUUAUGGGUAGGGCUUCACACGUCAUACAAUGGUCGGUACAGAGGGUUGCCAACCCGCGAGGGGGAGCUAAUCCCACAAAGCCGAUCGUAGUCCGGAUCGCAGUCUGCAACUCGACUGCGUGAAGUCGGAAUCGCUAGUAAUCGUGGAUCAGCAUGUCACGGUGAAUACGUUCCCGGGUCUU
rnacentral:rRNA from 1 species